rnacentral:misc_RNA from 1 species
UUUCCGUAGGUGAACCUGCGGAAGGAUCAUUAUCGUAAAACCGAGGUUCGAGGGUUGUCGCUUACCUUUUCGGUCGUGCACGCCCGAGCGCUCUCACACAAUCCAUCUCACCCCUUGUGCACCACCGCGUGGGUCCCUUUCUGGCUCGUCCGGAGGGGGGCUCCCGUGUUAACAAAAACUUGAAGUAGAGUAGAAUGUCCUUUUUUUGCGAUAACACGCAAUAAAUACAACUUUCAACAACGGAUCUCUUGGCUCUC